rnacentral:rRNA from 1 species
GAUGAACGCUGGCGGCGUGCCUAAUACAUGCAAGUCGAGCGAACGGACGAGAAGCUUGCUUCUCUGAUGUUAGCGGCGGACGGGUGAGUAACACGUGGAUAACCUACCUAUAAGACUGGGAUAACUUCGGGAAACCGGAGCUAAUACCGGAUAAUAUUUUGAACCGCAUGGUUCAAAAGUGAAAGACGGUCUUGCUGUCACUUAUAGAUGGAUCCGCGCUGCAUUAGCUAGUUGGUAAGGUAACGGCUUACCAAGGCAACGAUGCAUAGCCGACCUGAGAGGGUGAGCGGCCACACUGGAACUGAGACACGGUCCAGACUCCUACGGGAGGCAGCAGUAGGGAAUCUUCCGCAAUGGGCGAGAGCAUGACGGAGCAACGCCGCGUGAGUGAUGAAGGUCUUCGGAUCGUAAAACUCUGUUAUUAGGGAAGAACAUAUGUGUAAGUAACUGUGCACAUCUUGACGGUACCUAAUCAGAAAGACAAGGCUAAAUACGUG